GAUGAACGCUGGCGGCGUGCCUAAUACAUGCAAGUCGAGCGAACAGACGAGGAGCUUGCUCCUCUGACGUUAGCGGCGGACGGGUGAGUAACACGUGGAUAACCUACCUAUAAGACUGGGAUAACUUCGGGAAACCGGAGCUAAUACCGGAUAAUAUAUUGAACCGCAUGGUUCAAUAGUGAAAGACUGUUUUGCUGUCACUUAUAGAUUGAUCCGCGCCGCAUUAGCUAGUUGGUAAGGUAACGGCUUACCAAGGCAACGAUGCGUAGCCGACCUGAGAGGGUGAUCAGCCACACUGGAACUGAGACACGGUCCAGACUCCUACGGGAGGCAGCAGUAGGGAAUCUUCCGCAAUGGGCGAAAGCCUGACGGAGCAACGCCGCGUGAGUGAUGAAGGUCUUCGGAUCGUAAAACUCUGUUAUUAGGGAAGAACAAAUGUGUAAGUAACUAUGCACGUCUUGACGGUACCUAAUCAGAAAGCCACGGCUAACUACGUG
rnacentral:rRNA from 1 species